rnacentral:misc_RNA from 1 species
GAAAUGCGAUAAGUAGUGUGAAUUGCAGAAUUCAGUGAAUCAUCGAAUCUUUGAACGCACAUUGCGCCCCUUGGUAUUCCAUGGGGCAUGCCUGUUCGAGCGUCAUUUGUACCUUCAAGCUUUGCUUGGUGUUGGGUGUUUGUCUCACCUCUGCGCGCAGACUCGCCUCAAAACAAUUGGCAGCCGGCGUAUUGAUUUCGGAGCGCAGUACAUCUCGCGCUUUGCACUCAUAACGACGACGUCCAAAAAGUACAUUUUUUACACUCUUGACCUCGGAUCAGGUAGGGAUACCCGCUGAACUUAAGC